GGGUUCAGUGGUAGGAUUCUUGCCUUCCAUGCAGGAGACCCGGGUUUGAUUCCCGGCCA
rnacentral:tRNA from 1 species